rnacentral:sRNA from 1 species
GAAGCCGAGGGUCUGCUCAGGUGUGGCCUCUGCAGGGUCCUGGAGGAGGGCAUCCCAUUGGCUAUGACAGAAGGGCCCUGGUGACAGGAACUUGCCACCCUGGAGUGGACCCAGUGCACUGUGCUCCACAGGGAGCAGCGGUGUCAGGCUCAGCCCUGCCCCCCACUUGCCUUUUCUGUUCUGCAGCUUUUGCGGGGCCCCCAGAUCCUCUGCAUGGGAACAGUUUGUACCAGAAGGUUCGGGCGGCCGCGCAGGACUUGGGGAGCACCCUGUUCUCGGACACCGUGUUGCCACUGGCUCCCUCCCAGCCUCUGGGGACCCCGCCUGCCACAGGCAUGGGCUCCCAGGCCAGGCCGCACAGCACCCUCCAGGGUUUCGGCUACAGCAAGGAACACGGCCGCACGGGCUCGGCAGGCGAAGCCUUCCUCUCCACCAUCCAGAAGGCCGCAGAGGUGGUGGCCAGCGCCAUGCGCCCCGGGCCCGAGAGUCCCAGUACCCAGAGGCUCCUGCCGCGGGGUGACACCUACCAGCCUGCCAUGAUGCCUUCAGCCAACCACGGUCCCCCAACCCUGGGGAACCUACUCCCCGGGGCCAUUCCAGGUCCCCGAGCUGUGAGGCAUCAGCCUGGGCAGGCCGGAGGGGGCUGGGAUGAGCUGGACAGCGGCCCCAGCUCUCAGAAUUCCUCCCAGAGCAGCGACCUGAGCAGGGUCUCGGACUCAGGCAGUCAUUCCGGCAGCGACAGCCAUUCAGGGGCCAGCCGGGAGCCAGG